AAACGACUUGCUCCUCUGACAUAAAUAAACGUCAAUCCAGGGAACACAAACUAAAAAGCUCAACAAGAUCUAACAUGGAGGAAACAAGAAAAUAAUAAAAACAGAAAAAAGGUGAAAAAAAAAAAAAGGGGACCCAAACUGGAGACAGAAACCACACAAGAAAUGUAAGUGAAAAUAAAUCAAAUAAUAUUUUUUUCCGUUUUUAAUUUUUAUUUUUAAAGGAAUUGUUUUUAUUGUUAUUUAUUAGUAAAGUAACAAUUCUUGUCUUUGAAUUUGAAUAAAAGUUCAUUGUGUUUAAAUUUAAUUCUGACCAAUAGAAAAAAAAAAAAAGGAAAGAAAUUAGAUGAGGGUGGUUGUGGUUGUGGGUUUAAAGCUGCAUGAAUGAAUGCCAGAUGCCCUUCCUGUUGCCACCCCUUCUCCCUUUACAGGUUCCCAAAUAAGAUAAAAAUUUCUUCAUAAGCAGUUUGGAAAAUGAACAACACUACUCAUGACAGAGAUGUUUGUUUGCAGCCAUCACGUGACAGUCCAGACAAAGACACACACACACACCUUUCGUACUUCCAAGCUUUCCUCCACUUGCAAACAAUACAAGAACACAACUAACUUACUUGCACACUUCUACACACAGCAUCCCCACUUGGUUUGUAAUUUUUUUCUUGCUCUCUCUCUCUUACUCCAAUACUUUUCUUCUGAUGAAGGGUUAAUGUUCAAAACAUUAAAACUCUUUCCUUUUCUUCAUACUAAUACAAUAUUUGUUAAAACAUGUCCAUCUUGUGUUGGCUUUCCUCUUUUUGUUCAUUAUAUUUUCAACACAUACACACAUAUGAAGGGCUUUUUUUUCAGUUUUCCUCUUCUAAAUCUGCAUCACAAAACUUUGAUUGGCCCAGGGUCAGAGGAAAAGACACUUGCUCAAGGUGUCAUGCACUGGGAUUGAACCCAAAACGACAUUUAAGAAGCAAGCCUCUUAUCCAGUCAUUCCCACAUAAACACAGUCAAAAGGUUCUGUGAACAACCUCCCACCACCACCCUAACCCUUUGUAGGUGCCCUUUACAAAUAUCUAUAGCUUUCGGUUUACACUGAGCCCUGUGAAUAAAAUGGGGAGGGGGUAGAUGUAAACAGUUGUAGCUUAUCACAUGUGAAUUGAGCCUGGGAUUCAAAAGAUACCCCCUUGUUGUCUACAGGACCUCACUGAUAUAGAUUGAGGAUUACGUUAAGGGGACAUAUAUCUGUGGUGUACUCAGCCACUUACACUUUUAAUUCAAUGAGUAGGUGGUCAUUCAAACAGAUGAAAGCUCAUCAGUGAAGCCACACAGGACUCAUGAUUAUCAUAUAUGAGUAUGUAUAUAUGCAUAUGUGUAGAAAAAAAUAUAUACGUGUAUGUGUGUGUGUAUAUAUAUAUAUAUAUAUAUAUAUAUAUACACGUGAUGGUGGGGUAUUUUGUGUAUGUAUAAAUAAUUUCAUCAAUUGGAUCUCAGCUACAUAGAACUCUGCACUAUACUCCUCUGUAUUGGACUGCUAUGUAGUCUGAUAGCCAGGUCCAGUAGAGGAGCUUUCUGUGGCAGCCACAAGAUUCCAUAUACUGCAUUACAAAUUUAUAUUAUGUGUGUGUGUGUGUGUGUCUCUCUCUGUAUAUGUAUAUAUAUAUAUAUAUAUAUAUACAUACAUAAAUGGCAUAAACAGGGUAGUCAGGCAUAGCUUUCUUCCCCAAUGCAUGUAUAUAAUCAUAUAUGUUUGUGUAAUUGCUUCCACACAUGCCCCCCCCCCCCCCACAGAGCAGAACCUGUAUCAAAUGUUAGGAGUUUCCCUAUGUUUUGUCACUGAAACUGGGUGAGCCCUAACUAUGAAGGGACUGUACUUACACUUGCUUUCAAAUUGUUGGCACAAGGCUAGUAAUUUCAGGGGAAGGGUCAAGUUGAUUACAAUGACCCCCAAUGUUCAACCAGUACUUAUUUUGUUGACCCCCGAAAAGAUGGAAGGCAAAGUCGACGUCAGUGGAAUUUGAACUCAGAACAUAAAGAGGGAUGAAAUGCUGCUAAGAAUUUUGUCUGGCAAUUUAAUGGUUCCCCUAGCUUGGUCCCUUAGGACUGUACAUGUACUGAAAAGGGACCAAGCCUUGUCCUGUACACACUCACACACACAGAGUCUGCUUUCUAUGUCGGCAUGGGUUGGAUGUUGUGAUAGGGUCCAAUGGAUCAGAGGACUAUUCUCGAUCAAGUCUCUUCGGUUUUCUGGAGUGGUUCUCUGGCUGGAUGCCCUUCCUAACGCUAACCCCCCUAAAGUGUGUACUAGGUGCGUUUUACAGGGUACCAAAACUCUAGAGUGGUUCUCUGGCUGGAUGCCCUUCCUAAUUCUAAUCCCUCUAAAGUGUGUACCAGAUGCGUUUUACAGGGUACCAAAACUCUAGAGUGGUUCUCUGGCUGGAUGCCCUUCCUAAUUCUAAUCCCUCUAAAGUGUGUACCAGAUGCGUUUUACAGGGUACCAAAACUCUGGAGUGGUUCUCUGGUUGGAUGCCCUUCCUAAUGCUAACCCCUCUAAAGUGUGUACCAGGUGCAUUUUACAGGGUACCAAAACUCUGGGGUGGUUCUCUGGUUGGAUGCCCUUCUUAAUGCUAACCCCUCUAAAGUGUGUACCAGGUGCGUUUUACAGGGUACAAAAACUUUAUUACAUAAAGAAAAAAAAAAGGGAUAUUGAAGGUGGAGGAAAAAUAGACAAACAGGGAGAGGGGGAGGAAGGACGAUAGAGAAUGAGAGAAGAAAGUGAAGAAAGCAAUAACACGAAUUUUAAAAUCAGUCCUUCAUCAUGUAUAACAACAUAGUUUCAAGGUUAGCUUCAAUUAAUUAACACACUUCAUUAGUCAUAACGAGUUAGGCAAUAUGUGGAUUUAUUAGAUGUUUCAAAAUACAAAAAAGUAAAAAAAAAAAAUAAAUGUUAAAAAAAAAAAGAAAGAGCAACACAAAACAAUUCCUUUAUUCUUUUACCUGUUUAAAAGAAAAAAAAAAAAGUCACUGGACUGUGGCCAAACUGGAACACCACCUGCAAGGGGUCAGUUUAUCGAACCGACCCCAAUUUUCGUAUUUUUAAGUCUGGUACUCACUCAUUCUCCCAUUCUCCUUUUUUUGCUGUACUCCUACACGACAGGGAUGUAAACAAACCAACACCGCCUGACAAGGAGUGAGAGCCCACGUACACACGCAGCAUUUAACUGCAAUGUCCCAACAAGUCCGAGGACUGUAUCGAGCUCCUAUAUUAAUUUUGGCAUCGUUUUUUAUGGCUGAAUGCCCUUCUUAAUGCCAACCACUUUACAGAGCAGACUGGGUACUUGUUUGUUUUUUUUUCACAGCACAAGCACUAGUAAGAUGGCAUACAUAUAUAUAUAUCAUCUUCAUCAUUUAACAUCCAUCUUCCAAACUGGCAUGGGUUAGAUGGUUUGACAAGAAAGAGCAAGGUACCAGGUUCUAUUGUCUGCUUUGGCAUGGUUUCUAUGGCUGGAUCCCCUUUCUGAUGCUAAACCACCUUACAGAGUGUAUUGGGUGCUUUUUAUGUGGCACCAACACCAGAGGGGAGGUUGCCAUGUAACUCGCGAGACAAAGACCACUCACCCCAGGAGUUGGGGGGGGGUGGAAUCAAGGGAGGUGGGUUUGAGCCAGUUGAGAGAUUAAAGUAUAACAGAGGGAUAUAGAUUGGCGUCUUACUAUGGAGGAGGUACUUGGCUACCCCCAGUAGGGAGAGAAAGAUAGAGAGAAAAAGAGAUGGUCUAAGGGAUGUAUAGGGACACACCCAUAUGGUACGGAGGGGUAAGUUUCAUAAGUGUGUGAAGGGGAGGUGUUUAGAGAUGCGGAAGAGGUGACUGUAACAAGCAAUGGAGAGAAAUUGGAGCAGCUAGAACAGGGGAGCACCACUACACCCACAGAUAUGGCAUGUGGGUGAGUCAGGGUAGGUGCUUGGUACAGUACGAGGGUGGGGGGUUGGAGCAUUCUAGAACAGCAAGCAAAUGGAUUCUGUCAGUUUUGUUCAGUCAACUGAAUCAUCUGCUCUUGAAUUGGUAUCUACGUGGCUGAAUACCCCACAGUUAUGUGUCAUUCAAGUAGAAUCAGUAUGACAUAGUGACAAGGCUAGACAGGAACAAUCCAUCCAACAGGCUUCAUUACAGUUUCCAUCUACCCAGUUUUAUUCACAAGGUAUCAGUUAAUUCAAGGCAAAGGUUAAGACUGCCCCACAACGCUACACUUUAGGGAUUGAACCCAGAUCCUAGUGGUUAUAUCCUUUGCUCUUCUACAGUGACCAGAAGGUGUCCCCUUCUCCCAUCAAAUAUUUCACAUAAAAACACACAUUCUAAAACUACACACACACACACACAGUCUUCAAGCAGAAAACUGAAGAUCCAACACAAGGCCACACACUUAUAUUGGAGGGAAACAAGAAUAUGUGAUGUUCAUGCCUUUCUCAACAGCAUUAUUACUGUAAGGAAUGUGAGGUAAACAGCCCCUCUGGCCAGAAAUUAAUACCAAUUAAAAGUGGACUUGGCGUGGUACAGAGGAAGUGUUUGCCUCUUAAGAUCCAUUAUCAUAAACGUCCUUUGCCCUCACAUGUUAAUAGACAUAUUUUUCAUUUAACUGAAGAAUUAUUUAUAGAGCUUGGUUGAGAUUGUUUGGCAUGCAUGCCUUUCUCACCAGCAUUAAUACUGUAAGGAAUGUCAAAUAUGCUUAUAACUGGAAAGUCAAAAUUAAACCUGCUAUGUGGGGACAAGACGCACCAAGCGAACUUGGUUUUUGCUCAUUAAUCUCAAACCACCAGCUCUCCCACCGCCUUCUGUGCACCACCAAAAAAAUGUAAAGAGUGUUUCAAAACUUCCUCCUUAGCUACAAAGUCAUAGCCCCACCACAGAAUGAGAUUGUGUGGCAGCAAUCCUUUCCCAACAUUCCAAGACUUAGGAAUCAAAGAAGCAAGAGUUGGUCCACUUCAAACGCUUUGCAGUAAAGUGGGAUCUGCUAAAUGCCACGGCCAAAGUUGGCAAUUUAUGAUUUGGGGGAAAGUAAGGAAAAAGUGGCAGGCUUUUGGAGUUAAGUUUCUAUGACAUUCUUGCCUCCAAUGAGGACAUCAGGGAUACAAGUGAAUCAAACCAGCGUCGGAUGAACUCAACUGGUUUCCAACCAAGAAUUGAAACUUUGCUCACAGACUCAAUCAAUCUGCCUGGAACUCGGCUUUCGUUACCAAUAUUUUUGUUUGUUUGUUUUUUAAAAUAAUUUUCAUUGCUAAAUUACACGAGUCGUUAUAAAAUCAUUCUCUUCAUCAGAUGGAAGUUCACAAAUAUAUAAUAGAGAAAAAUAAGAGUUGGACGGGAUUGCAUGGAAAAAGCCAAUUAUCGUUAGCGCCACAACUGAACUAAAAUCUCAAUAAAUUAGGUUCCAGACCAGGAAUGGAAACCAGCAUGGCAGAAUUUGAAUGGCUGGAAACUUAUUAAUCUCUCUCUGGAUUCUACAUCAGUUAACUGCCCUAUUUUCCAAAAUUCAUUCAAUAAUAAUAAUAAUAAAAAUAAUAAUAAUCCUUUCUACUAUAGGCACAAGGCCUGCAAUUUAGUGAGAGGGGACCAGUUGAUUACAUUGACCCCCCAAUGUUUCACUGGUACCCUAAUUUAUCAACCCCCGAAAGGAUAAAAGGUAAAGUUGACCUCAGCGGAAUUUGAACUCAGGACUCAAAAUGCCACUAAGCAUUUCGCCCGGUGUGCUAACGAUUCUGCUGGUUCACAACCUUAAUUCUUUCUACUAUAGGCACAAGGCCUGAAAUUUGCAGGGAGGGACAAAGUCAAUUACAUUGACCCCAAAAGGUCAGAGUUGACCUCGGCGGAAUUUGAACUCAGAACCUAAGGAUGGAUGAAAUGCCACUAAGAAGCAUUUUGUCCGGCAUGCUAACAAUAAUAAUAAUAAUAACAAUCCUUUCUACUGUAGGCACAAGGCCUCAAAUUUGGGGGGGAAGGGAUUAAGUUGAUUACAUCGGCCCCAGUGCUUAACUGGUACUUAUUUAAUCGACCCCAAAAGGAUAAAAGGUAAAGUUGACCUUGGUGGAAUUUGAACUCAGAACGUACCGGCAGAUGAAAUAUCGCUAAGCAUUUCAGCCGCUGUGCUAAGAAUUCUGCCAGCUCGCUACCUUAAUAAUAAUAAUAAUUUAGUGGAAGGGAAUUAGUCAAUGCAGUCAACCCCAGUAUUUGACUGGUAUCUUAUUUUAUUGAGCCUGAAAGGCAAAGUCAACCAGGGGAGGGGUGGGGACAAGUUGAUUACAUUAACCAUAGUACAAGGAUUCUGCCAGCUCACUGCCUUUUUAAAUAAUAAUAAUAAUAAUAAUGGUUUCAGAUUUUGGCCCAGGGCCAGCAAGUUCUGGGGAGAGGGUAGGUUGAUUACAUCAACCCCAGUGUAUAACUGGUACCCUUUUUUUUUUUCUUUUAAAUCAACCCGCCCCCAGCCCCAAAGGAUGAAAAGUAAAGUCAACCUCAGUGGCAUUUGAACUCAGAAUGUAAAGAACUAGAAGACAUGCCGCUAAGCAUUUUGUCCAAUGCCCUCAAGACUCUGCCGGCUCACCACUUAAUAAUAAUAAUAAUAAUAAUAAUAGGUUUUUCAAACAUAAACACAAGGCUUGAAAGUUGUGAGAUGGUAUUUGUCAGUACCACCAACCAUCAACACCCUUGAAAAGAAAAAAAAAAUUUUUUUUUUAAAGGUUACUCAACCAUUUCCAAAAUUCAACUUUUUAAGAAUUUACCAUUUUAGAGUUUCGUUUCAUACCACCACCCUCCACACACAACCACCUUCUCAUCAGAUUUCACUAAUCUCACUGCUUGUUUUUUUUUUAAAGUUUUUUUUUAUUUGUUGUUUUUUUUUUGAAAUUGUUGUUUUUUUAAUUUUUUUUUUUAUUUACUCCUUGAUAAACACUCGUGUUAAAAAAAAUAAAAUGAAAUUUAAAUAUUAUUGUUCAAGUCACACAGAUAAAUAAAUAAAUAUCAGUCAUAAAAAAUAUUCCAGGUUCAUUAAAAAAACAAGGGAACAAUUUAAAGAAAAAAAAUUCCAACAUUCUAUUGUAGUUACAAAUGUUUUUUUUGUUUAAAAAAAAAAGAAAAAUCAAUACAAAUGAAAAAAAAAUAAUUCCACACCAUUGACCCCCACUUCUUCCAAACAACCCCACCACACACACACAAACACAGGUCCACUAUGAGCCUACAAGUUUAUUUAGUAGGGGGGGGGGGGAAACUUUGUGCCAGUUUCCACAAUAUUUAAGCAACCAAGAGCUGUACCACAGGUCCUAGCACCUGUUCAAUGGGACAGGAUGCUAGUCUUUCAAAGGGUUAACUCCCAGCUGCUGUUGCAGCUCCUGCUACACGCUUUUUUGCCGCUGAGUGGACUGAAGUGAUAUGAAGUGAAGUGCCUUGUUCAAGGAUACAAUGCAUUGAUCAGUCUGAGAAUCGAUGCCAAGAACUUCCAGCCACAGCUACAAUAGCCUUACUCUUAGGCAACGUGCCUUCUCACACACACACAGACAUACGAUAUAUAUACAUAUAUGCAUACAUACAUAUAUAUACACACAUAUAUAUAUAUAUACACAUAUAUAUACACAUAUAUAUACACAUAUAUAUACACACACAUAUAUACA
rnacentral:lncRNA from 1 species